rnacentral:rRNA from 1 species
ACCUCUGCAAUAGGCGAAAGCCUGACAGGGUUACUCUGAGUGAUGCCCGCUAAGGGUAUCUUUUGGCACCUCUAAAAAUGGUGCAGAAUAAGGGGUGGGCAAGUCUGGUGUCAGCCGCCGCGGUAAUACCAGCACCCCGAGUUGUCGGGACGAUUAUUGGGCCUAAAGCAUCCGUAGCCUGUUCUACAAGUCCUCCGUUAAAUCCACCUGCUCAACAGAUGGGCUGCGGGGGAUACUAUAGGGCUAGGAAGCGGGAGAGGCAAACGGUACUCAGUGGGUAGGGGUAAAAUCCAUUGAUCUACUGAAGACCACCAGUGGCGAAGGCGGUUUGCCAGAACGCGCUCGACGGUGAGGGAUGAAAGCUGGGGGAGCAAACCGGAUUAGAUACCCGGGUAGUCCCAGCUGUAAACGAUGCAGACUCGGUGAUGGGUUGGCUUCGCGCCAACCCAGUGCCGCAGGGAAGCCGUUAGGUCUGCCGCCUGGGGAGUACGGUCGCAAGACUGAAACUUAA